rnacentral:sRNA from 1 species
CUCAGCUGCCUUGUCUUGCGAUUCAUAUAUCCCUGAGAGUGACCAGUUGUCUUCGUCCCAUAUCCGCACUCCACUAGAUAUUUGAUCGCAAUAUCUACAACCUUAUCGUUAAACAAAAUACCGUCGCCAUGGCUGACGGAGAAAAAGUCAAUACACCACUGAAGGCCUUAGCUUCCCAGAGCAAUCCUCCGGAGUCUCCAACUACAGCUAGGCCUCUGGACUUUGACGAUGAAUCGCAGGAGUCCGGCGUGACCCCAAUACAGCCAACUUCAGCGUCCAAAGCAUCCUCACAAUUGACACCAGGCGGCAACGAUGGCCCCCCACCAAAACCACCCCGACCACUCAGCCCCAUGCAGCAAGCAGAGAGCACUUUAAAAGAGGCGUUUCCCAGUAUCGAUGCCAGCGUUAUAAAAGCUGUUUUGGUGGCUAGUGAUGGGAAUGUUGAGAGAUCAUUCCAUGCGCUGCUCGGCAUGUCGGACCCUGAUGCGCAAGUGGAUCUGCCGCCUACGAUGCCCCCGCGGCCACCCCGGAAGGAUUCCCCCACUCAACGACAACUCGAAGCCGAUGAAAUGUAUGCGCGUCAGCUUGCGGAGCAUUACAGCGGAGUGGGCCAACGUCAUAGAGCCCCGGAAUCUUCGUGGGACCAUGAACCGCAUUUGCCGAGGCAACGCAGGGAGACUGGAUUAAAACCCAAUGAACUCCAUGAUGACAGAGAGCAUAACUUUUUUGAUGAUGAUCUACCGAUAAUUAAGGAGAACAUUCGCAAGGGAUUCCUAGAGACGCAGACAAAAGUUAACGCUUGGGUUCAAAAUUUCAAGAAGAAGCUUGAGGGCGAUGACGAGGAGGAUGAAUAUGGAAAUCCACCUCCCCAUCCAGCACAGGGAUAUGCCCAAGGAUACGGCGACACUCAGACCUAUCGCACAAGGCGGAGCGGCGAGGCCAGGCGAAGUGGUGACCGCGAACGGUACGAUGCCGACCCUCAGGUCUUAGGUGACGACUUCUCCGCAUUAGAGCUGAGAGAUGCUGAAGCCCAUCCACCACGCUCAUCGCGACCCCUCGCAAACCCCGAUCUCUUCAAGCCCAACUCACCAUCACCUGACCGUCGAAAAGUCUCUUUCCAAGAGGGACCUCCUGAGGAAAUACACGAUGCUUAUGGCCCCGGCUCUGCAUCUGAUAGAAGCAAGCAGCCGUCAUCCACUGGUGGUAGCAAUAAGUCCAGCAAAUGGCAACCACUCUCUACAGUUGAACCUUCACCAGUUGCAGACAACGAUCCAUUCAGCCUUGGUGACAGCGACGACGAGAAGGAGGUUAGGAAUAACAAUAAAGAUCUUAAGCCCGACGAUGCUGAGAGGGUGAGGAAGGCUACUGCAGAAGCUAUGGCGGGGAUAUUGGGACUGAUUCUCCAAAGGCUGGCAACAAGAAUAAGCCCGCUGGGGGAACUUAGACAGGGCGGGGCUCCAAGUUACUUUGUUUUUAUUUUUAUAGUUUGUCAUACUUCUUGACUUUUGCUGUAUAUUCCUCCAUUUCGUUUCGCCCCAUACUUUUACUGUAUCCUGGGUAAACCAGAACCUACCUUUGAUCUUCUUUCCCAAAUUGCAGGCUCGCACAACAUGUGCGCGGAGAGCGCUUAUUUAUGUCACCCGAGCAUUUUAGAGCGGCUUUUUACCCAUUUUAUCUAUUAUGAUUGUUCCCUUUCUUUUUGUGAAUUUUGUCAAUGCGAGACGGCGGGAGGGGCCCCCAUUUUGAUUUUGUAAUUGAUGUCUAAUUAUUCCUUUUCGAUUGACUAUAUCGCCAAAGUAUCCUUCCCCCCCCCCUCCCUGGGUUAUCCCCUUCGGUUUCCACAUUCUGACAACAAGUGCAAGCUCUGGCUACCCAGCCCUGGCGGCAUGGUAAUCCAUUUUGUCACCGUUUCCCCCCUCUGCGAUGUAUAGUACCGUUAUGUACAUACCGAAUAUAAUCAAUCACAUCCAUCCAGAUGGUCUUCGAAAGUUGCCCUGGCUACCCCCGGCUCUCUUUCUCUCAUUUGUUAGCAGCCAGAAGAAUCUCAGAAUGGAAUGAAUACAAAGUAGAUGGUGCUACUAACUCAAGCGGAGGGUUAAAGAAAGAAAGAAAAAUCAAAAAUCAAAAAAAAAAAAUCAAAAAAUCAAAAAGAAAACGAAAAAAGAAAAUAGCUAGCUAGAUAUGGGAAUGUGGGAACCCCCCGAGGGCCUAUUCUAUGCACGCAGCAGAUGUAAAACUGAUAGAUAUCAAAUCAAACCGGGCAGCAGAACCACACACACACACACACACACAAAAAAACCCUGUUGAAUAUCCUAAAUUAAGUAUUAUACAUACAGAUGAAAAUAAUGAGCCCAUCCCGCGCACAUUAAAGGAAAUACAUUGUUAUCAAACUCCCCAAAACAGCACCUUGGGGAAGAAGAGGAGGGGGGGGUGGUUAGGAGGAGGAAAGGGCCUCAUAUAAACCGUCCUCCCACAACACCAAUACAUAUGCAUGCAUACAACGCGCGGGAUACCCACUUUGAAUCCAGGGACGAUUACCUUCGCAGGAACAAAACAUCCCAUACAGAACUAAGCCAAAAUCAGAGGGGAGAAACGGAGAGAGGGAAAAACCUUCCUCCUUUCCGUCCUUCCACGAAAAGGUGGGGGGGUUAUGGGAACGGGCAAUAUCGAAUCACCAAGGAACACACACACACAUACUCUCUCUCUCUCUCUCUCCAUUCUUUGCCAUCAUUCGGAGCAACGAUAAAUUGCACACACGUCCAUCCAGAGGAACCGGGGAGAAUAGCGUAGUUCAGAUAAAGGGGGGAAAAAAAAGGGUGUUAAACGCAUGACAACAUUGCUAUUCAUGCACUCCUCUUCCUUACUCCACCGCAGCGGAGGCGGCGUCUGCUGCAGCACUCGAUGUCGUCGUUGCAAUUGCAGUUGCGGCCUCUCUGCGCAAUUCUUUAAUGACGGCAGCCAAAGCUUCAGGAUUCACGCCGUUCUCGAUUAGGGAGACGCAGAGGGAUAGCUCCGUUCGGUCGAGGUGGGUAUUCUAGAGGGACACGGUGAGCGAGAGAAAUAGAAAACACAAAGUCAUAUGGAAGGGGAUUUUUUUGGUUUGAUUAUUUGGGACUUGAUAUAUAUAUAUUUCCUCAUUUUACUUUCUAAAAACAGAUCUAUACAUGUAUGAGCGUUUUUUUGGGGGGGGAGGUAAUGGAACAUACCAGGAUCGUGGAUAUUUCAUGAAGGAUAUCAACAACUUCGCGCGCGGCUUGUCGUUUGUCGUCCUGUUGUUGCUGUUGCUGCUGCUGCUGGUGUGGAGGCGGGACGGGCAUGGCUUCGUUGGCGUCUUUUCCAGUUUCUUUCUUUCUCUUCUCUUUGCUCUCAAAUAUAAACUAUUCCCCUACGUACUAGUACCGGUGAAGGGUUUCGGCGACGAUGUUUGGAUCAAUAAAGUUAUCGGAUGUUUUUUGGCCUAAGAAUACUAGUAUUUAGCGCGUUUUUUCUCCACAUGGAAAAAUAAAAAAAAAGC